rnacentral:rRNA from 1 species
UACGUAGGCAGCAAGCGUUGUUCGGAGUUACUGGGCGUAAAGGGUGUGUAGGCGGUUGUUUAAGUUUGGUGUGAAAUCUCCCGGCUCAACCGGGAGGGUGCGCCGAAUACUGAAUAACUAGAGUGCGGGAGAGGAAAGUGGAAUUCCUGGUGUAGCGGUGAAAUGCGUAGAUAUCAGGAGGAACACCGGUGGUGUAGACGGCUUUCUGGACCGUAACUGACGCUGAGACACGAAAGCGUGGGUAGCAAACAGG